GAGCGGACAGAAGGGAGCUUGCUCCCGGAUGUUAGCGGCGGACGGGUGAGUAACACGUGGGUAACCUGCCUGUAAGACUGGGAUAACUCCGGGAAACCGGAGCUAAUACCGGAUAGUUCCUUGAACCGCAUGGUUCAAGGAUGAAAGACGGUUUCGGCUGUCACUUACAGAUGGACCCGCGGCGCAUUAGCUAGUUGGUGAGGUAACGGCUCACCAAGGCGACGAUGCGUAGCCGACCUGAGAGGGUGAUCGGCCACACUGGGACUGAGACACGGCCCAGACUCCUACGGGAGGCAGCAGUAGGGAAUCUUCCGCAAUGGACGAAAGUCUGACGGAGCAACGCCGCGUGAGUGAUGAAGGUUUUCGGAUCGUAAAGCUCUGUUGUUAGGGAAGAACAAGUGCAAGAGUAACUGCUUGCACCUUGACGGUACCUAACCAGAAAGCCACGGCUAACUACGUGCCAGCAGCCGCGGUAAUACGUAGGUGGCAAGCGUUGUCCGGAAUUAUUGGGCGUAAAGGGCUCGCAGGCGGUUUCUUAAGUCUGAUGUGAAAGCCCCCGGCUCAACCGGGGAGGGUCAUUGGAAACUGGGAAACUUGAGUGCAGAAGAGGAGAGUGGAAUUCCACGUGUAGCGGUGAAAUGCGUAGAGAUGUGGAGGAACACCAGUGGCGAAGGCGACUCUCUGGUCUGUAACUGACGCUGAGGAGCGAAAGCGUGGGGAGCGAACAGGAUUAGAUACCCUGGUAGUCCACGCCGUAAACGAUGAGUGCUAAGUGUUUAAGGGGGUUUCCGCCCCU
rnacentral:rRNA from 1 species